rnacentral:rRNA from 1 species
UACGUAGGGGGCAAGCGUUGUCCGGAAUCAUUGGGCGUAAAGAGCGCGUAGGCGGCCCAGUAAGUCCGCUCUGAAAGUCAGGGGCUCAACCCCUGGAUGCGGGUGGAUACUGUCGGGCUAGAGUGCGGAAGAGGCGAGUGGAAGUUCCUGGUGUAGCGGUGAAAUGCGCAGAUAUCAGGAAGAACACCCGUAGCGAAGGCGGCUCUCUGGGACGGUACUGACGCUGAGACGCGAAAGCGUGGGGAGCAAACAGG